rnacentral:rRNA from 1 species
UGAGGAAUAUUGGGCAAUGCCCGCAAGGGUGACCCAGCAACGCCGCGUGGAGGAUGAAUGUCGUAAGAUUGUAAACUCCUGUUAGAGGGGAAGAAUAGUACCGGUUGGACCGGUAUAUGACUGUACCCUCAGAGAAAGCCCCGGCUAACUACGUGCCAGCAGCCGCGGUAAUACGUAGGGGGCAAGCGUUGUCCGGAUUUACUGGGUGUAAAGGGCGCGCAGGCGGGAUAAAAAGUCAGUGGUGAAAUCCUACAGCUUAACUGUAGAACUGCCUUUGAUACUUUUAUUCUUGAGUUCGGGAGAGAGAGACGGAAUUCCAGGUGUAGUGGUGAAAUACGUAGAUAUCUGGAAGAACACCAGUUGCGAAGGCGGUCUCUUGGUCCGACACUGACGCUGAGGCGCGAAAGCGUGGGGAGCAACA